rnacentral:lncRNA from 1 species
CGUAACAACUACCAAAUAUCGUUAACUAAUUGAUACAAAUUCAGUCCAUGAAGAAAAUUAAAUUGUGGCCAAGUAUAUUUGCAUUAUGUCCCCCCUCGAUCGAGUACUGCAUCUUGGCAACCAACGCCAUCACCAACACCUCGCGGGUAACCAUGGUAUUAUAUAGAUGUUCAUCAUGUAGUGCAGAUAUAAUUGUUUGUCAUAUAUUGCAGCCAUGACCUCUUAAACUGCAUAACUGACAUAAUUCACGUGUUAUUCAUAGAUUAGAGUAAUCAUUUGAUCUAAACUGGACUAAAUUUGAGGAAUAAUAUUCCGAACCAAAGAAAAAUAUAUUUUCAAUCUUUUUUUCUUCUAGUUGGUACCUACAAAUGUGCCACUGCCAAUAGGCACUGGGAAAAAAAGAUAUGUAAGUGCGUAUAUAGAGGCAACAAAAAUUAGUAGUUUCCACGGAAGCUGAUCAAAUGACAUAAUUCAUCAAAGUUCGGAGAUACAAGUUUGCGCAUCUAAGAAACAAAAAAAUGCUAGUUCAUACAGAAACCUACCAUCAAGUUGUAUCAAUAAGACAUCCUCGCCC